rnacentral:rRNA from 1 species
GACGGAGAGGGUGUCAAACGUUUGCUCGGAAUCACUGGGCGUAAAGGGCGUGUAGGCGGGUAGAAUAAGUCCGGGCGGUGAAAUCCCUAGGCUCAACCUAGGAACUGCACUUCGAAACUGUUUUAUCUUGAGUGCCGGAGAGGAAAGCGGAAUUCCAGGUGUAGCGGUGAAAUGCGUAGAUAUCGGGAGGAACACCAGUGGCGAAGGCGGCUUCCUGGCCGUGUU